ensembl:snRNA U6 U6 spliceosomal RNA
GCUGCUUGGGCAGCACAGAUACUAAAAAUUGGAACGCGACAGAGAGGAUUAGUAUGGCCCCUGCCCAAGGAUGACACUAAGAUUCGGGAAGCUUCCAGAUUUUUC